AACGCGAAGAACCUUACCUACUCUUGACAUCCAGAGAACUUUCCAGAGAUGGAUUGGUGCCUUCGGGAACUCUGAGACAGGUGCUGCAUGGCUGUCGUCAGCUCGUGUUGUGAAAUGUUGGGUUAAGUCCCGCAACGAGCGCAACCCUUAUCCUUUGUUGCCAGCGGUUCGGCCGGGAACUCAAGGGAGACUGCCAGUGAUAAACUGGAGGAAGGUGGGGAUGACGUCAAGUCAUCAUGGCCCUUACGAGUAGGGCUACACACGUGCUACAAUGGCGUAUACAAAGAGAAGCGACCUCGCGAGAGCAAGCGGACCUCAUAAAGUACGUCGUAGUCCGGAUUGGAGUCUGCAACUCGACUCCAUGAAGUCGGAAUCGCUAGUAAUCGUAGAUCAGAAUGCUACGGUGAAUACGUUCCCGGGCCUUGUACACACCG
rnacentral:rRNA from 1 species